CUGUCAGGAUGAACGCUAGCGGCAGGCCUAACACAUGCAAGUCGAGGGGUAACAUUUGUGCUUGCACAAGAUGACGACCGGCGCACGGGUGCGCACCGCGUAUGGAACCUGCCUUGUACAGGGGAAUAGCCCAGGGAAACUUGGAUUAAUGCCCCGUAGUACCGUGACCCGGCAUCGGGAUACGGUUAAAGCCUUCGGGCGGUACAAGAUGGCCAUGCGUCCCAUUAGCUUGUUGGUAAGGUAACGGCUUACCAAGGCUACGAUGGGUAGGGGCCCUGAGAGGGGGAUCCCCCACACUGGUACUGAGACACGGACCAGACUCCUACGGGAGGCAGCAGUGAGGAAUAUUGGACAAUGGAGGAGACUCUGAUCCAGCCAUGCCGCGUGCAGGAAGAAUGCCCUAUGGGUAGUAAACUGCUUUUAUACGGGAAGAAAAAGAGCUACGUGUAGCUUACUGACGGUACCGUAAGAAUAAGGACCGGCUAACUCCGUGCCAGCAGCCGCGGUAAUACGGAGGGUCCGAGCGUUAUCCGGAAUUAUUGGGUUUAAAGGGUCCGUAGGCGGGCCGAUAAGUCAGGGGUGAAAGUCUGCCGCUCAACGGUAGAACUGCCUUUGAUACUGUCGGUCUUGAGUUAUAGUGAAGUUGCCGGAAUAUGUAGUGUAGCGGUGAAAUGCAUAGAUAUUACAUAGAACACCGAUUGCGAAGGCAGGUGACUAACUAUAUACUGACGCUGAUGGACGAAAGCGUGGGGAGCGAACAGGAUUAGAUACCCUGGUAGUCCACGCCGUAAACGAUGGAUACUAGCUGUCCGGAACCUUGAGUUCUGGGCGGCCAAGCGAAAGUGAUAAGUAUCCCACCUGGGGAGUACGUUCGCAAGAAUGAAACUCAAAGGAAUUGACGGGGGCCCGCACAAGCGGUGGAGCAUGUGGUUUAAUUCGAUGAUACGCGAGGAACCUUACCAGGGCUUAAAUGCAUAUUGACAGGUCUAGAGAUAGAUUUUCCUUCGGGCAAUUUGCAAGGUGCUGCAUGGUUGUCGUCAGCUCGUGCCGUGAGGUGUCAGGUUAAGUCCUAUAACGAGCGCAACCCCUACCGUUAGUUGCCAGCAUGUCAUGAUGGGGACUCUAACGGGACUGCCGGUGCAAACCGUGAGGAAGGUGGGGAUGACGUCAAAUCAUCACGGGCCCUUACGUCCUGGGGCACACAACGUGCUACAAUGGCAGG
rnacentral:rRNA from 1 species